CUGGUCACAUGAUCAUCUGAUUUGCAUAAAGAAUGUCAACUUUGUGAAAUGACCAAUGAUAAAGGAGCAUGAACGUGAAGCAACAAUCUUGUGUAAAGUUAAUUUUGGAUCUUCAAGCAUGGCUGGGUACACUAACCAUGUGGACACACUAUACUUACGGACAAGUUGAUGUGCCUACCCUUGAUUAUGACAACCUGAAUAUUUCCAACCACUUUCUGUUCAUUCGGCUAAUGAGCAAUAUCUGACAAAAAGACAACAGCCAUUCCUAUGCCCACCAUGAUGAUCGCCAAAACGGCAGCUGACACAGGGUGUGACUGAACAGCAGAAUGCAUCUUGCUCCAACUGGAGAAAGCAAGAUAAGCUCCAGCCACAAUUAACAGCAAUGACAAGCACUUCAACUCAAGAAUCUACCUGAAGAUGACACAGGACAAUCCAUGUCUAAAUCACCACCAGUGCUCAUGGGUUUUUGGGAGGAUUUCUUAGCCCCCAGGGCUCAGUUUGGAUGGAAAAUACUAGGGCAAAAUAUUAUCUACCUCACUGUCAACACAGACACUUCCUCAAGCCAUGACAAACAUCCCUCCCACCCUCCAAAAAAAUGGUCUGUUCCCUAGUGGAGCUAUAAAUAGCAGUGACAACACAGCCAUGUGAUUACCAUAUCAGACUGGCCACAGUGCAGCAGUAAUGACAUGGAAUCUGUUGCAGUGGCUGGCUAGCUGGCUGCCCAGUAUGAAAUACGAAGUGUAUUGAUUGUAGCACUGCCCAGCAGUUACCAGUACAACUGAUGCACAACUUGACACAGUGGACAAAAUAUUGACAUGUUCUUGUACCAUAUGCCGACAGCACACAUGCAUAAAUACCAUGUGGUAUUGAUAAUGGUGUAAGAAUCUACAUCAGAACGUCGCUAAAUGCAAUAAACCAGAAGUUGUUAUCCACA